GGGGCAGGGAAUGAGGUAGGGAUGGGCUGGCUGGUUCGGGGCGAGGAAUGGGGCAGGGACGGGCUGGCUGGUUCGGGGCGAGGAAGGGGGCAGGGAAUGGGGCAGGGACGGGCUGGCUGGUUCGGGGCGAGGAAGGGGGCAGGGACAGGCUGGCUGGUUCGGGGCGAGGAAGGGGGCAGGGAAUGGGGCAGGGACGGGCUGGCUGGUUCGGGGCGAGGAAGGGGGCAGGGAAUGGGGCAGGGACGGGCUGGCUGGAAGGGGGCAGGGAAUGGGGCAGGGACGGGCUGGCUGGUUCGGGGCGAGGAAGGGGGCAGGGAAUGGGGCAGGGAUGAGCUGGCUGGUUCGGGGCGAGGAAGGGGGCAGGGACGGGCUGGCUGGAAGGGGGCAGGGAAUGGGGCAGGGACGGGCUGGCUGGUUCGGGGCGAGGAAGGGGGCAGGGCUGAGGUGCGAACUGGGUCAGGCCUGGGCCCGGCUGUUACAUCAGUGGGGCGGGCGCGGGGGCCGCUGUAGGUCAGGGCUUGGGGCCAACUAGGGCACUCAGCUGGGCGGGGGGGCAGGCUUGAGGCUGGUGCUGGGAGUGGGGGGCACAUGCCGGGCAGGGGCAAGGACCCCCCUGCUAACCCCUCUUGCCCCACAUCGCCCAGCUCCCCCAUGCCCCCCACUCAGACCCCCAGGGGUGUGGUACGUGGGGGGGGAGCUGCCCCCAGCCCGGUCCCCUAUAGAUAGCCCCAGUGGAGCCUUAAUUGCUAAUUAGGGCUAACGAAGGGAUCAGGGAGGAUUAAGGAGGGGCUGGUUCGGCUGGGCAUCCCCUCACAGUGGGGGAGGGAGCGAGGGCAGGACCCCUAUAUACCCCCAA